GUGGUUUAUAAACUACAGAAAUGUGUUUUCAUAGUCCUGGAGGCUAGAGAGUCCAAGAUCAAGGAGCCGGCGGAUUUGGCAUGCGGAGAGGGCCCCUACCUCAUAGAGAGCACCUUCUCACUGUGUCCCCACAUAGUGGAAGGGGCAGGUGGUGGAGGGGGCAAGGUGGCUUUCUGAGGCCUCCUUUAUUAGGGCACUGAUCCCAUUCCUGAGGCUCCUCCCCCAUGACCUAAUCAUCUCCCUAAUGCCCCCGUCUCCUAAUACCAUCACCUUGGGGUUGGCUUCAACAUUGAAUUUUGGGGGGACACAGACAUUCAGACCACAGCACUGAGUGAAGCCGACAGUCCUCUACAAGGCGGACAGGCCUCAUCUCUCAGUUCAAAAGCCUGAAUGGAACAAAAAUGCUGCUCCUCCCCUGAGUAAGAGGAAAC
rnacentral:lncRNA from 10 species